GUGUUCUGGUGGAAGGUUACAACGGAUCUUAUUUUGUAUUUGUAUUAGUUGGUGUAUGAAUCUAUUUCUGUGUUCUUUAGUUUCCUGUUCUUCUCCAGUAAAGAAGCAUGCAACACUCCCUGUGUCCUGGUUACAUUAAAUACUCUUAUUGAAAUAUAAGUAACAGAUUUAACACUGGCGACGAGGAUUAAACUGUUCUUCAGCAUGGCUCCAGGUAUCAGUGGAGCACCAGUGGGCUGACACAGCACAAUUGUGGGGUGCAAACAGGAACAACUCAUUCAGACUGCCAGCAGCACCUAACUUGAAAAAAAGGAGCACAGCUGUGAGUAAUAAUGGAUUCAGAACCUUCGACUUCGUCCUCCACAGCUACAAGUGGUGUAAGUUUGAGGCAGAAAGACAAGAUUUUCUGAUAUAUGUCUAAUCAAAUUACUGGCACUAAUAAACAAUAAACGCCAAGUUAAACUAGAAACCAGAGAUACUGCAAGGAAGUUCUACUUUUUUGGCAGAAAGCUAAGAUACCUACCAAACAUUUGAAAGAUUGUAUUGCGAAGCUUGAAAAACUUCAUGAGGAAUGGAGAAAACUGCAAAAAAAUGCAACAAGAAGCAUAAGUCAAGCUCAAAGUAAAAAAGUGGAAGCUUUUAAGUCAAGCCUUGAUGACCUGUUUGAUAUUGCACACCAGGACGCGCUGAAGAACACAAAUGAAGAAGGCAGACAGUUUUUGCUCCUUCAGAGACAAAAGGGAUGUAUUGGCUGUAUGGGAGGAGUUGAUAUAAAAUUCCUAUGAGCAGAAGAACGAAGAACAAAGAGAAAAGCAGAUGAGAUGGUCACACUGGAAAAAUAAAAACUGAAACCUGUAGAAUACGAAUAUGUAGAAAUGGAAUGUUUAAGCACAAGCAGUGCCUCAGAAGAAGAGGACAUAGAAGAGAAGGAUCAUGACACAGGAUUCAGGACACAGGAAUCGACACAUCACAACUGGAGAAAAUAAAUUACUGCUGAGGAACUUACACUAAUUUUCAAAUUUUCUUGAAAAAGUCAAAUUUCCAGGUCCGGUCCAUGAAAAACCCAAACAUCUUCCGAUCUGUACAUUUGUCAAACAAGUUGUGGUAGUGAAAAUUGAAGCCAGGAACAUUCUCUACAAAACUAAACAAAAAUAACCAGUUUCUAAGAUGAACCGUUCUAAUUUUAUAGCGGAAAAAUCCUCCGAUUUUUUGAGAAAAAUACAGUAGCUGUUUUUUAAUACCUUAGGGCUGAUGAGGCAGGUCUUCACAUUAUCCAACUGAGCUGAAACUUUGGCAAUCUCAUUUUUACACCAAUUGGCAACUUUUUAGGGGUUCCCAUCAAAGAAAUUCGGACAUCGAUUUUUUGCGACCACCCUAAUACACAUAUUACACAUAAAAAAGCUUUGAAUGCAAUUUAUUAACUUCUGAAAAACAAAUCAGGAGGUCUCAGUGGGGUAAUGUGAAUUUAUUUUGACAUUAAGCAAUUUUCUUUUUUUGAGGAUGUUUUUUUACUUACAGUAUGACAGUGAGUUAGGCAAACCUACAAAUGCUUUUUAUAAAGUUCUUAAAAGAUUACAAAUUGGACAGCCUGUUUGGUAUGAGCCUGGUCCUAUGUGAACUUUACAUAGAUGACCUGUUUAUUAUUUGUGAGUGGAUUCAGUUUCAGUAAUUGAUUUUAUAGCCCUUUUAAAUUCUAAUACACAGAUUCUUACUUUUAGACAUACAAGUACAAGCUUUUUAGACAUCAGUCUCUCAUUCAAGGACGAUCUGUUGUUAAUAUUUUGUCUUUUUAUUAAAUAGAUUGUUAGCAAUUCAUACAUUACCAAGUUGUCAGCAUCUACCAUAGCUGUCAAAUAUACUCAAAGGACAAUUAACCACUUAACUGGCAUGGUCAGAUCCCUUGCAACCACGCCACCCCAACGUGUCCCCCAGUUUUUGAUGAGGAGAUCCAUUUUGCAGAGGUGCAUAAUAUAAUAUUUAAUUAUUUAAAAAAUACUUUUAAACUGUAAAAACAACUACAACAAUGUUGUGAAGGGAAAAUCAUCUGUUAAGUGGUUAAGAAGAAAUUGCACCCACAUUUUUAUAUUUGAUGUGCAGGGAGUCAGCGUGGCAGAGAUCUUUAUUUUGUAUUUUAUUUUUUUAGCAAAGGUUAUCCUGAAUAUUUGGUUACAGUGUAAAUAACUGCACUAAUUACUAUAGAUGCCACUGGGUAGUGGAUCUAUUGGCACCAGGGCUGGCAGUGCUAUAUUGCCACUGUUGAGAUGAGGGUGUCAUAUUUCAGUGUUGAAGGGGUGGGGUUGUCCAUAAUGGGGACCUAUAGACACUGCAAUGUUGGGGGUAGUGCCACUUGGGAUCUAUUGCCACUAAGGGAUCAGUUGCCACUAGGGAGCUGAGGGUUGUACUACAAUAUGGACACAUAGACACAAAGGUGUGGUAGACUCCCCACAGGCAUAUUUUUUCACUAAAAUAAUGAAAUAUGUUUUUAAAAGAUAUUCUUGACUUAGUUAUAUACAAAAUGUUCAAUGUUUGAUUGUUUUUGAAACAACAGCAACAAAUGGGCAGUAAGUGGUUAAAUUUCAGAAGAGGGAAAAACAAGAAACCAGUAGGGUGCUUUAGGUACAUUAGGAAUAUUUGUCGUACCAAUAAAGUUAUGGACACUAAGUUGGGGACUUUAUAAACUAUAAGAGUUCCAAGUGACAGCAAUGCAAUGACAAGGAAUGAAAAGUUUAUACCAUACACUUUCAAUUACAGGUAACAUUAUAGUACAGAGAAAAUACUUUCUUUUACCACAAUUACUAUGUUUAUUUCUUUUCAUAGUUUGUCUAAAUGGAGUGACCCAAUCGAUGGAUCCUGUCCUGGAAAUAAUGUCUAUUUCACGUUCAAUUAAUUCCUCAGCACCACUAUUUUUACACUGGACAGUUCAUUUAAUCCUCCUUCUAUCACAAAUGGCAUGGCAUCAAGUAGGCAUUUAUUUAAAUUCUGGCACCACUGACUAUAGAGCUCUGAGUAAUGACUGCCAAAUGCAAGAGCUGGUAUACUGACUCUGUGACAAGUCUUUUUUUUAAUUUGCUUAAUUACAAAAUCCAACCAUUAUGUUCAUUAUGUGUCUUACAUGUAACGUAUUCACAUAAGCAAUCUAAAGCUUAGUAGGUUAGUUUCACUGUUUGAUGAUUAGAAAAUUGUAUAGUUGUCUCUGUAUAAAAAGAUAAAUUCAUCAGUUUUAUCAUAUUUAAAAAGAUGACAACUUCCCACAUAAGGGGACAUCCAAUUAGCAGCAAAAAUGCGGUCAUUUAUCGUGGGUCAACAUUUUGCACCUAACGCGUGAAAUGUGCUGCUUAAAAGGCUUUUAGUAUGUAUGUAUAGUAUGCUCCUGUUUUUCAACCUAUCCUUUUGCAAAUGUGCGUAAACAGGAUUUGCACGAUGGCGUAGGUGAAAAUAGGGAAAUCUGUCGGGACACGCAAAAUGUUUUAAAUAAUAUAGGAUGUCAGUAUAGAAGGUUAUUAGUGGUCAUAACAAAAGUAUUUGGGGCACUUAAAUUGGGUCAAGUGGCUAUUACAGUAUAUGUAUAUUUCUAAAAAAGUGAAAUGAUUUGUAGAAAGCAAGUGUUUUUCAGCAAAAUAAGUGCUCACAUUAAAUUGGGGGUACAUAAAAAUGGGUAUAAAUAUAUAUUUGGGUCAUUCUAAAUCACUUCCCCCCAAAAAAUAAUGAAAAACUUCUAAGUGCCUAAUUAGUGAUUCUGAGAGGUGUCCAAGCGGUUCUGAACCAAAUCCCCACAUUUUUACCUUAAAAUAGGGAUUUUCCACAACUUUUCUCCUGCUGAGAUGUUAUUAAAAGAAAAUCAUGGUAAAACCUAUGGAGUUUUACAUUUUCGAGAAACAAUUGAAUAGGGUUUUUUUUUGCAAUUUGCAAUAAAAGCCCUGUUUUUAUCACAACAAUAGGUUUUCACAGCUAAUAAUAUUUUAUGUUAAUAAUAAACAUAAAGUAUGCAACCUUUUAUCGAAGAAACUACAUAAACAUUUAUACAUCUGCGCUCAUUGGACCUAGUGUAUUGUAUGUUUGUCUUUUAUGACAGCCAGUAGGAGUGAUUGAUACAAUUUUCUGACCCAAUAGGUUUGUAUGGAUAAAUCUAUGCAAUUUUAUCUUGCUCUAGAGUAAAUUGUUAUAUACAGAUGUAGCCACACUCAUCACUGCUGUGCUGCACCAUACAUGCAUACUAGUCACGCCAUACAAAUAGCGCAGGUAUGCAAAGUAAGGCGUGAUAAUGCACAAGAGGAUCUACAGCAUGCAAUACACAGCUUCACCACUAGGUGGUGAUUGUUCCACUAAAGAAAAUUAUAUUACAGUGCUGAUUAGCAGCUGAUGGAUGUGGCAUAACAGAAUGCUGAACAACGUAGCAAGACCUGAUAAGUGGGCCAGUGCACAGUAAAUAUAAUAGUUCUAUUUAAAACAACAAUACUGCAAGGCGGAGUACAAAAUCACCGGAACGGCAGGCACCCAGUGACAGCAUGCCUUACAACUGAAAGCUCUGCUUGUGAGCUGUAUAAAAUGAUCCCUACAUUAAUUACAAA